rnacentral:rRNA from 1 species
UUGGAAGUAAAAGUCGUAACAAGGUUUCCGUAGGUGAACCUGCGGAAGGAUCAUUACAGUGCCGCCGGGACUUGCCCCCUAAACCGGGGCGAGCUCCCGCAACUGGCCACCCGUGUCUACCGAACCUCGUUGCUUUGGCGUGCCCGCGAACCCUUCACCGGGGGAGCCGCCUUGGGGCUUCCGCCUCGGGCCAGCGCCGCCAGAGGACCACAAUUGAACUCUUUGCUGAUGAGUGACUGUCUGAGUGAUUGAUUUAAUCAUUAAAACUUUCAACAACGGAUCUCUUGGUUCCAGCAUCGAUGAAGAACGCAGCGAAAUGCGAUAAGUAAUGUGAAUUGCAGAAUUCCGUGAAUCAUCGAAUCUUUGAACGCACAUUGCGCCCUCUGGUAUUCCGGGGGGCAUGCCUGUCCGAGCGUCAUUGCAUCCUUCAAGCCCGGCUUGUGUGAUGGGUCUUCUUUCGUCCCGAAUGGGGGACGGGCCCGAAAUGCAGUGGCGGCGUCGUGGUUAUCCAACGGCCUGAGUGUAUGGGGCUCUGUCACACGCUCACCAGCCAGGACCGGCGCCGGCCUCAACCAAUCUAUCUUCUUAGGUUGACCUCGGAUCAGGUAGGGAUACCCGCUGAACUUAAGCAUAUCAAUAAGCCGGAGGA